rnacentral:rRNA from 1 species
GACGAACGCUGGCGGCGUGCUUAACACAUGCAAGUCGAACGGUAAGGCUCCAGCUUGCUGGGGUACACGAGUGGCGAACGGGUGAGUAACACGUGGGUGACCUGCCCUGCACUUCGGGAUAAGCCUGGGAAACUGGGUCUAAUACCGGAUAGGACCAUGGUGUGGAUACUGUGGUGGAAAGGUUUUUCGGUGUGGGAUGGGCCCGCGGCCUAUCAGCUUGUUGGUGGGGUAAUGGCCUACCAAGGCGGCGACGGGUAGCCGGCCUGAGAGGGUGGACGGCCACAUUGGGACUGAGACACGGCCCAGACUCCUACGGGAGGCAGCAGUGGGGAAUAUUGCACAAUGGGCGGAAGCCUGAUGCAGCGACGCCGCGUGGGGGAUGACGGCCUUCGGGUUGUAAACUCCUUUCACCAUCGACGAAGGGUUUCUGACGGUAGAUGGAGAAGAAGCACCGGCUAACUACGUG